UACGGGGGGUGCAAGCGUUAAUCGGAGUUAUUGGGCGUAAAGGGUGCGUAGGUGGUUUAUUAAGUUAUCUGGAAAUUCCUGGGCUCAACCUAGGAAUGUCGGGUGAUACUGGUAAACUUGAGUAUAGUAGAGGGUAGUGGAAUUUCCGGUGUAGCGGUGAAAUGCGUAGAGAUCGGAAGGAACACCAGUGGCGAAGGCGGCUACCUGGACUAAUACUGACACUGAGGCACGAAAGCGUGGGGAGCAAACA
rnacentral:rRNA from 1 species